GGCGAGAAGCCACAUUGGCUGAACUCUGCCCCGGAAAGCCAUGCUGAAUUAACCACCUUCGUGUGUUUUUUUUUUUUUUUCCGUUUUUUUACAUAAACAACCUUCUCAAAUGUAGAAUGGUGACCAAGCACGUCCAGAUUACUGUCAAGGGUUUCUGUUUCAAAGAAGAGGACGACUCUGUAGAAAUCCUCAAUGAGGCUGUGGUUGAGUGGCUUGUCCCACACUAACUAAAAGUUCCCCGAUUCCCUCAGGAAAAUACCAGAAAAAGUGAUUAUUGUUUUUGAAGUAGGAGUUGUAAUUGACAAUUUGUAAAUAUAUUUGUUAAGCUCUUUGUAAAUAGUUAAUCUUUAGAAACUUUAACCACCCAAAAAAUAUUACUUAAAUCAGUUUAAAUGUUUUUUUUUUUGUUUAGUGUCAUUUCAAAUGUUACUUAUGUAACAAUAUUUAAACUAAUUAUUAAAGAAAUGCUCUACUUAAAAUAAAUAAAUGAAUAAAUUAAAAAGGCAUUUUCAUGGAGUGGCUGACCAGGUUUGAAUCGGCGAGCUUGCAGUGCACUUUUUGCGCCGCUGUCGGGCAUGAAAAUAUCACUGUGCCAGUUGAUUGUAUCAACACCUCCCUCUACUACACCUCCCUCUACUCCGCUGCCACGCCCAGCUUGGCACAUCUUGGUGCACCUCAGUCUAUGAAAAUACUAAACUGGCUGUGCACUAGGUGGCACUGCACAGGGUGCACCACCCUGCUCUGCGCCACUGGUGGGCAUGAAAAUAGAGGCCUAAGACUUUCAGGUCGCUUCACACAUUUGGGGACUCUCCUCACCAGAAGGACUAUCCCAAAGUGGCGCUUGUCUCAAAGUUGUUCUCCUUAAUCAAGCUUCUUUGUCCUCACUAACAUUUAUCCUGGCCAUUAGUGGCUGCUGAGUCUUUUGCGUUCUUUCAAACAAUCUGAUGAUCAUUUUUUCUCAUUGUUCAGCCAUGCCAAAACAGAAAGGAAGAGGAUAGUGAUAAGAUCAGGGUUUUAGAUCAUAACCAGGUGGGCUGCAUUUGUUCCUCUUCACACAUCACUCUUCUCUAUCCCCCUGACCCUUGAAUCUCUUCCUCUGCACCAGAUAUGGGGACACAAUGACAACCGGCUGCAGCAGCUGCAAUGCUAAAAAUGCAACUCAAAAUUCCUGAUAGAUUUUUGGUGUCUAUUUCAGAUUUUUCACUCUACUUCAGGAUUUAUCCAACUUCUUUUUCUUUAUCCCUUUAUUCACCCUCCCGCUCCUCAGUAAACCCUGUCUCCUCCUGUCUGUCUGAUUCAUGGUGUCAGUGUCUGUCCUCUCUCCUCUGCAGCUGGGAGGCAAAUAUCAAAUCUUUCCAUUCCCCCUUCCUCCCCCAUCCCUCCACCCCCUCUCUGCCUCACUUAUUUCCUCUGCUGUGAUCCAUAGGUCAAAAGAUACAUCAGUAAUGGGACCAACAAACUAAAGAGUUCAAGCUUAAAUCGUUUUUCUUGGUCUACUUUUCCAGAGAUAUCCUUUGUUCUUUGGCCUGCGCUUGUGAGAGUAGUUGUCUUGUAAAUGCAAUUGUUUGUCUCCUUUUUCUUUAUAUUCCUGGUUCACUGGACAUAAAAUCAAUAAUGCAGCAAAUGACCACAUUAUCUAGUUUCACAUAGCCUGGAGUAAAGAACAGACAUAACGUAACUCAGUAAGAGAGCUAAAUUAAAAUAUGACUAAAGUUCUAACUACAAAAACUUAAACAGGGAAGUGUCAUUCAAAACGGAUUUUUAUUGCUUUGCAUUUAUUUAAACCUUAAGCUAGAUUAAAAAUAGUGCAAAGCCAUCACCUCAAAUGUUUACCUGCAAAGUUACAUUUCAAAGAAGUUUGUAUUGGGACAAAAGAAAACAUUAAAAAACUUAUUUCAUGCUUAAGAAGAAAAAAAACCAUCUAUAAAUAGAUUAGAAACAAGGUUGUGUACAAAAACUGCAUAUGAAACAGCCUCUCAGUGGUAGAGAUGGCAAUAAGUUCAUCACUUUGUGAGAGACCUCAUUGGCAAAGGGGUCAACAGCUUCAUUAUCAAGCUCAUCUGUGAGAAAUUAGAUUCCAAGAUGGGGUUGCAGCAGGGCGCCAGGGUACUUUGCUCUCACGUUUUUUGUGUUUUUGUUUGGCAUUCUGCUCUCCCUCCCAGGUUAUCGUCACCAGAGAGGAACUCUGAAAUAUUGUUUCAUCUUUUUUGGCACUUUUUACGGAUCCAGGAGGUUUGAGAUAACCCUUUACAGGAACCACAUCUAAGCUCAAGGCCUCAAAAAAUUGGUGAACACCUUUGUCACGUAAACUUCCCUUGUCUUUCCAUCUCAUAUGAUCCCUUUUACUGCUGUUCUGAAUUGCAGCAUGAACAAGAAAUGCAACAAAUUUUUAAAAAGUGAACAGUUUCUCUUUUUUUGAAAGCAAACAGCCAGGAGGCUGACAGCAAGCAUUUAUCACACAGAUGAGACUCAGGGGUUCAAAAUUACCCAUGUUCUCUCGCACUCAGCCACUUUAUUUCAUAAAUCUCUUCCUCCCUCAGUCCGGCACCCACACACUUACACAAACACUCAAGCACAGCCACGCUGAGACCAUGACAUGGGAUCAAUUUUAUUUUUAUUUUUAUUCCAAGUCAAUAAAUGAAAAAGGCUUCCAACUGCUGUCCCAAAAUGAACCCCUAUGGCAAUCAGAGAUAAAAAUAAUAGACACACACUUACAACCACACAUCCCAGUUGUAUGUCCUGGCAAACCCACUGUAUCCAAUUAGAGUCAGUGUCUGCUUUGGGCUGACUUCAGUAACACUAAGGCCUCUGCUCUCGCUGUCAUAUUGGUCCCACUGAGCUAGACAAAAUCCAUCAAUAUACCAACUGUUCUGAAUCCACUUUCUGAAACGUCUCCCUGGUCUCUCUUCUCUUCACUCAUUACUUUUCUUGUUUGAACAGUGGAAAGGCUUCUGAAUUGUAGUCAGGAUAUUUCUGAUGAGUGUUAAGAGCCAUAUAAGGUUAUGGGGCUGCAACUUCAGAGGUGAAUAAUGGAAACAGUUCAGGGUGUUAUUAUCAAAUCCCAAAUCCCAGGCCCUGGUUAAAAAAGGAACAUUGACUCUGCACAUGAACCAAGCAGAAAAAAAAAGUAUAUGCAAUUAUAAAACCCAUCAAGAAAAAUGUUGAAGCAAGUAAGCUCCCCAAAUUGAGAUCUAAAAUAAAUUCAUGUCAGAAAUAGUAGCUGUUCAGGGUUUCCCUAUGCACUCCUGUGUCAAUGAAUUGCCUUUUUUACUGCCUCCAGAUUCCAUAGACAAGAUCUACAUCAUCUCAAAGAGUAUAAGAGCUAGUGCAAAGUAUAUCAUCACGUCUAUCUAAGGAUAUUGUAUGAGGCCUUUCUUUGUCACUGAUCCUGAGUAGAAUUGCUCAAGUAUUAGAGGAUUUUUUAAAUGUCUUUAAUGUCUGUUUUGAAGGCCAAGAGGAAGAGGUGACAACAUGCCCCGAAGAAACGAGGCGCCACUUGAUUCCCACUAUGUCAUCCCUUGCCGUUUGCAGUGAAUUUGUCACCCGAGUCUGACACCAGUGUAGCUAUCAUUAGCUAUAGCUAUACCCAUUUGCAUGAUGUAAACACUCAUAACCGAGGGCUAAGGGGUAAGACAAGGGCUAAGGGGUACAAUUGGCAUUGGCCCUUAGACUCCUAACAUGAAACUAACAAUUCUUUACACACUCGUACCGAUUUAACAAUUACAUUUACAGACUGUAAAUACUGUGGUUAUACCUUUUUGGAAAGUCAGCAGUGUGAAGGUCCUGUAAAAUGAGUAAAAAUGAUCAAUAACCCAAAAUAUAUAUACAAAAAACCCUGAACGGUUUCAAUUAAGCCUGAUCCAAUUGGUAUAUUUGGAGAUCUCUCCUCAUGUAGACAUGCUUAACAUUCAUACUGCAGAGAGAUUGCUGCAGGCCACUAUUAAUUAGAAUUUUUACUAACGAAACUUCUCGACCUCAUGAUUGACUUCAACUAAUUUUCAGUCAGCUCCAAGUUUGCUGCAGUAUUUUUAUUAAAAGUCCAAAUAACUUUCAUAUCCCAGUUAAUUUACUGAGUGCAUGGGAGACAGGUCUGUUGAAGACUAAGGUUGUUCCCAUUUUCUCCUCAAUGGUUCCCUAACACAUCCAACAUGCUGUGCAUUUUUCAUACACUUGCUGUAAGAUCCUUUAAGAUUUGUCAUCUUACUUUAAGCAUCCAUGCAAGUACUGUAGCUUAAUAAGACAGUACAUGAACACUCCAAACCUGCACCAAAUCAAAUACACUAUAAAAAUUGAUGCAGCCAAUGUCUAAGUCCAAGUCCAAGUCUGAGUGUCAGUACUUAGGUCCAAGUUGAGCCAAGAGUGCAGAAAGUCUGUUGAUACAAUGUGCCUUUUGGUUAAAGUGAAACAGUGAAUAUCUACUGCAACUUCCAGCUCUAGUUGAAACAGCUGAGAUUUUGUUUAGAGGUGGAUGUUUGUCAGUAUCAUGUAUGAGUAUGUUUGUUAUGACAGUGACCCAAGCUUGCUCCAAGACAACAACAAGAUCAAUGCAUGUAUAAAAACCAAUGGAUCAUUUUCCAAUUCUUUUUUAACAUCACCUUUUACGUGCAAUUGUAAUAAGGUAUUUGGUUUGAGGUAAAUUCAUGUCCAAAGAAAGAGAGCCCUAAAUAAGUUAUGAGCAUAAACUGAGUCAAAUUGUCUUUGUCAUGUUACAUAUCCUGGAUUCAGUGUUGGAAACGCACAAAGACAUUAAAGAAUUAGGACCAUCCAAUUAUGUUGUCCCAUGCCUGCAAAUUCAUACUUAUGUUAUAUAUUAAGAGCUGGGUGAACUGCAUGUGAACUGCAUGUGUCAUAAAUGAAUUAACACAAGUAUGAAGGCUGAGAAAGACACUAAGCUACAGCUUUUCUACCAUUUAUAUUCAAAUGUGAACCAAUUCCUGAGUUUCUCUGCAGUAUGGGCCGACGACUUUGAUUUCAGUUCAAUCUGAAUUGCUAAACCAUCCCUAACUUGAAGCUGAAAAAGUAAAACUCUUAGAGUUACAAUGUGACAUAUUAAAAGGGCUUGGCAGGGUAAAGAUCCCCAUAAAGUCACAGUGUGGUCUCAUAUCUGUCCCCCCGCUAUGUUUCUGUCAAUGUCUGCCUCUCCUUGGUUUCCACUUGUCAGCUCUGGGAAACGGAUUCACGACUGAGAACACAGCAGAGAAAAUGAGUGCA